rnacentral:rRNA from 1 species
AGCCCUAAGAACUAAUUUAGGGUGAUACCUGCCCAAUGAAUAAGUUAAAUGGCCGCGGUACUUUGACCGUGCUAAGGUAGCAUAAUCAAUUGACUUUUAAAUGAAGUCUGGAAUGAAAGGGAUAACGGAAUUUAGCUGUCUCACUCUUAAUACAAAGAACUUACUUAUUAGGUGAAAAAGCCUAAAGAAGAAAAAAGACGAGAAGACCCUAAGAGUUUUGUAUUUUGUUGGGGCGACAAAGGGUCAAAUAACACCCUGCUGUAUGUGUCGGAUUUAUCAUGUUUAGUUAAACUACCUUAGGGAUAACAGCAUAAUUCUUUUGAGUUUGUGACCUCGAUGUUGGACUAGGAAGCUUUUAGGCUAGCUGCCUAAACAGGUGAUUCUGUUCGAAUUUUUACUCCU